ensembl:misc_RNA Metazoa_SRP Metazoan signal recognition particle RNA
GCCUGGUGCAGUGGCGCAUGCCUGUAGUUCCAGCUACUCGGGAGGCUGAGGUGGAAGGAUCACUUGAGCCCAGGAAUUCUGGGCUGUAGUAUACUAUGCCGAUCAGGUGUCCGCAACAAGUUUGGCAUAAAUAUGGUAGCCUCCCAGAAGCGGGGAACCACCUGGUUACCUAAGGAGGGGUGAACCAGCCCAGGUCAGAAACGGAACAGGUCAAAAACUCCUGCGCUGAUCAGUGGUGGGAUCCCACCUGUGAGUACCCACUGCACUCCAGCAUGGGCAACAUAGCGAGACCCCAUCUCUG